rnacentral:tRNA from 1 species
GCUCUCUUAGCUCAGUGGGAGAGCGCGCCACUCGUACGGUGCCUGCGUACCUCGAAAUGGUGAGGUCACUAGUUCAAUCCUGGUAGGGAGCA